AACGAACGCUGGCGGCAUGCCUAACACAUGCAAGUCGAACGAGACCUUCGGGUCUAGUUGCGCACGGGUGCGUAACGCGUGGUAACCUGCCCUUAGGUUCGGAAUAACUCCCCGAAAGGGGUGCUAAUACCGGAUAAUGUCUUCGGACCAAAGAUUUAUCGCCUUUGGAUGGGCCCGCGUUGGAUUAGCUAGUUGGUAGGGUAAAAGCCUACCAAGGCGACGAUCCAUAGCUGGUCUGAGAGGAUGAUCAGCCACACUGGGACUGAGACACGGCCCAGACUCCUACGGGAGGCAGCAGUGGGGAAUAUUGGACAAUGGGCGAAAGCCUGAUCCAGCAAUGCCGCGUGAGUGAUCAAGGCCUUAGGGUUGUAAAGCUCUUUUACCCGGGAUGAUAAUGACAGUAACGGGAGAAUAAGCUCCGGCUAACUCCGUG
rnacentral:rRNA from 1 species